ACUGGGCGUGGUGGCACAUGCCUGUAAUCCCAGCGGCUUGGGAGGCUGAGACAGGAGGAUAGCGAGUUCAAAGCCAGCCUCAGCAAAAGCAAGGCGCUAAGCAAUUCAGUGAGACCCUGUCUCUC
rnacentral:sRNA from 1 species